rnacentral:rRNA from 1 species
UACGGGGGGGGCAAGCGUUGUUCGGAAUUACUGGGCGUAAAGGGCUCGUAGGUGGCCAACUAAGUCAGACGUGAAAUCCCUCGGCUUAACCGGGGAACUGCGUCUGAUACUGGAUGGCUUGAGUUUGGGAGAGGGACGCGGAAUUCCAGGUGUAGCGGUGAAAUGCGUAGAUAUCGUAAGGAAGACCAGUGGCGAAGGCGAAUCUCUGGACAGUUACUGACACUGAGGCACGAAGGCCAGGGGAGCAAACGGG